rnacentral:rRNA from 1 species
UACGAAGGGGGCUAGCGUUGCUCGGAAUCACUGGGCGUAAAGGGCGCGUAGGCGGACUCUUAAGUCGGGGGUGAAAGCCCAGGGCUCAACCCUGGAAUUGCCUUCGAUACUGAGAGUCUUGAGUUCGGAAGAGGUUGGUGGAACUGCGAGUGUAGAGGUGAAAUUCGUAGAUAUCGGGAGGAACACCAGUGGCGAAGGCGGCGACCUGGGCCAAUAUUGACGCUGAGGUGCGAAAGCGUGGGGAGCAAACAGG